rnacentral:misc_RNA from 1 species
AAGUCGUAACAAGGUUUCCGUAGGUGAACCUGCGGAAGGAUCAUUAGCAAAUCGAAAUCAUGUGCGCCGCCGCAGGCGGUGCACAUCUGUCCCGGGGAGAAGGUCUGUUCGACUUUCUCUCUGUGAUUCCGGGGAGAAGGUCUGACUUUCUCCCUGUGUCAAGUGCUCCACGGAAAUGUAAAUCACCAACACCAAAAUCAAACUAAAAAACAACUUUUAACAAUGGAUCUCUGGGCUCCU